GAUGAACGCUGGCGGCGUGCUUAACACAUGCAAGUCGAACGAUGAAGCCCAGCUUGCUGGGUGGAUUAGUGGCGAACGGGUGAGUAACACGUGAGUAACCUGCCCUUAACUCUGGGAUAAGCCUGGGAAACUGGGUCUAAUACCGGAUAGGAGCGUCCACCGCAUGGUGGGUGUUGGAAAGAUUUAUCGGUUUUGGAUGGACUCGCGGCCUAUCAGCUUGUUGGUGAGGUAAUGGCUCACCAAGGCGACGACGGGUAGCCGGCCUGAGAGGGUGACCGGCCACACUGGGACUGAGACACGGCCCAGACUCCUACGGGAGGCAGCGGUGGGGAAUAUUGCACAACGGGCGCAAGCCUGAUGCAGCGACGCCGCGUGAGGGAUGACGGCCUUCGGGUUGUAAACCUCUUUCAGUAGGGAAGAAGCGAAAGUGACGGUACCUGCAGAAGAAGCACCGGCUAACUACGUG
rnacentral:rRNA from 1 species